ACCCGCGCUCGGCUCCCUGCUCGGUCGGGCUGGAACCUGUACUGGCAGCCGGAGGUGUAGGUAGGAACCGGAAUACCUCGGAAGCCGGGAAAUGAGUGUAGCUUCCUAGUGCUGUCAGCCUGAACCUUCCUCCUCUGCCAUGUGGGAUGUUUCAGGACUCAAUGAUCUUUGAGGAUGUGGCUGUGAACUUUACCCAGGAGGAGUGGGCUUUGCUGGAUCCGUCCCAGAAGAAACUCUACAGAGAUGUGAUGUGGGAAAUCAUCAGGAACCUGAUGUCUGUAGGAAUAAAAUGGGAAGACCGGAACAUUGAAGAUCAGUACAAAAAUUCCAGGAGAAAUCCAAGAAAUCAUAUGGCAGAGAGACUCUGUGAAUGUAAAGAUGGUCAAUGUGGAGAAACUUUCAGCCUGAUUCCAGAUGGUAUAAUGAACAAGAACACUCUUCCUGGGGUAAAACCAUGUGAAAGCAGUGUGUGUGGAGAAGGCAACGUGGAUCAUUCAUCUCUGAAUUGCUACAUCAGAGCUGACACUGGACACAAACCGUAUGAGUGUCAGGAACAUGGAGAGAAGCCACAUAAAUGUAAGCAGUGUGUAAAAACCUUCAGCUGCCUCCACUCCUUCCAAACACAUGAAAAGCCUCACACAGGAGAGAAACCCUAUGAUUGUAAGGAAUGGGAAAAAACCUUCGAUUCUCCCCAAACCGUUCGAAGAUACAGGGUAGUGCACAGUGGAGAUGGACCUUAUAAAUGUAAGUUUUGUGGGAAAGCCUUUGAUAAUCUCAGUUUAUAUCUCACACAUGAAAGAUCUCAUACUGGACAGAAGCCAUAUGAAUGUAAUGAAUGUGGGAAAGCCUUUGGUUUUCCCAGCUCCUUUCAUAGACAUGAAAGAAUGCACACCGGGGAGAAACCAUAUGAAUGUAAGCAAUGUGGGAAAACCUUUAGUUGUUCCAGUUCCAUUAAAAAACAUGAAAGAAUCCACACUGGAGAGAAGCCCUAUGAAUGCAAGCAAUGUGGGAAAGCCUUCGCUUCUUCCAAUUCCUUUCAGUAUCAUGAAAGGACUCACACUGGAGAGAAACCCUAUGAAUGUAAGCAAUGUGGGAAAGCCUUUAAUUGUUCCAGUUCCCUUAGAAAACAUGCAAGAAUUCACACUGGAGAGAAACCCUAUAUAUGUAAACAAUGUGGUAAAGCUUUUAGAUUUCCCAGUUCUAUUAAAAAUCAUGAAAAGACUCACACUGGAGAGAAGCCCUAUGAAUGUCAGGAAUGUGGGAAAGCCUUCAGAUAUUCCAGUUCACUUCGAGUACAUAAAAGAAUUCACACUGGAGAGAAGCCGUAUGAAUGUGAGGACUGUGGGAAAGCCUUCAGUCAUCCCACGACCUUUCAUAGACAUAAAAUUACCCACACUGCAGAGAAACCUUAUGAAUGUCAGGAAUGUGGGGAAGCCUUCCGUUAUCCUGUUGCUUUUCGUAGACAUAAAAUUACCCACACUGCAGAGAAACUUUGAGUGUAAGGAAUGUGGGAAAGCCUUCUGUUAUCACAGUUCCCUUCAAAGACAUGAAAGGACUCACAACGGAGAAAAGUUGUGUGGAUAUAAAAAAUGUAAAGCCGGCUGGGUGCGGUGGCUGACGCCUGUAAUCCCAGCACUUUGGGAGGCCAAGGCGGGCGGAUCAUGAGGUCAAGAGAUUGAGACCAUCAUGGCCAACAUGGUAAAACCCCAUCUCUACUAAAAAUACAAAAAUUAGCUGGGCGUGGUGGCAUGUGCCUGUAGUACCAGCUACUUGGGAGGCUGAGGCAGGAGAAUUGCUUGAACCUGGGAGGUGGAGGUUGCAGUGAACCGAGAUUGUGCCACUGUACUCCAGCCAGGUGACAGAGUGAGACUCCGUCUCAAAAAAAAAAAAAAAAAAAGUAAAGCCUUCCACUAUUCCAGUACCUUCUGAAACCAUGAAAGAACUGACACUUGAGAAAAACAAUGAUGUUAGGAACAUGGGAAACCUUUCCUUUCUCUCUCAAUCGUUUGAAGGCAUAUGGUGUGACAUGCUGGCGAUAGACCUCAUAACUGUAAGGAACAUGGAAAACGAUUCUUGUUUUCCAUGCUCCUUGUUUAUUUUAGAUACAUGAAAGAAUUUACUCUGGAGAGAAACUAUGAGUGUAAAAAAUGUGGUAACGCCUUGUGUAGUUUCUGUUUCUCUGAAAUACUGUCAUGUCCUGGUAUUCUCAGGGGAUUAGUUGCAGGCACCCCGCUCCCCACUUCAGAACAUCUAAAUCUGAAGAUGCUCAAGUGCUUUAUAUAAAAUGGUGUAUUUUCCUAGAACCUAAGCACAUCCUCUUGUACACUUUAAAUCAUCUCUAGGUUAUCCAUACUGCCUAAUGCAUUGUAAACGAUAUAAAAAUAGUUGUUUCAUUGUGUUAUUUAGGGAAUGCUGACAAGAAAAAACAUCUGUAGAUGUUUAAUACAGAUAACCAUCACAUGCCCACCUCCAUAGUACAGGCCCACCUCAUAGUAUAUGUCAGCUACAAUGAAACAUUUUCUUUUUUUUUUAAAAAACGUUUUGGAUUGGUUUCAUUUAAUGGCCUCAAAAACACGUGUUAACAUUCUCCAAAUCCUUGGUUCUUCUCUCCUGAUAACCCUCAUGUGAUGAUUGCUCUGUGGUUCCUAAAGCUGCAGUGUGUUGAGGUGCUUAGAUAUGUGGCAGUGUAGAUAAGUCAGGGGACAUCAGUUUAACUUGAAUUUUCUUUUUUUUUUUUUUUGAGAUGGAGUCUUGCUCUGUCACCCAGGCUGGAGUGCAAUGGUGUGAUCUCGGCUCACUGCAACCUCCACCUCCUGGGCUCAAGUGAUUCUCCUGCCUCAGCCUCCCAACCAGCUGGGAUUACAGGUGCCCGCCACCACACCCGGCUAAUUUUUGUAUUUUUAGAAGAGAUGGGGUUUCACCAUGUUGGCCAGGCUGGUCUUGAACUCCUGACGUCGUGAUCUGCCCACCUUGACCUCCCAAAGUGCUGGGACUACAGGAAUGAGCCACCCUGCCCGGCCAGAAUUUUCUUUCAGGACAUCAGGAGGAUCCUCUGCUGGAAGAACCAACAUCUGAUUGCAGAUGUUGCCUCUUUGGUGGAAGGUCAGUAACACAAAUCUUGGAUCUGUGGUGUUUGAGGGCUGAAAAUAUUUAAGCAUCGAACUUUCAGUCCUUUUUUUUUUUCUUUUUUUUUGAGAUGGAGUCUCUGUCGCCCAGGCUGGAGUGCAGUGGCACGAUCUCAGCUCACUGCAACCUCUGCCUCCCAGGUUCAAGCGAUUCUCCUGCCUCAGCCUCCCAAAUAGCUGGGAUUACAGGCGCACACCACCAUCCCCAGCUAAAUUUUGUAUUUGUAGCAGAGACAGGGUUUCAUCAUGUUGGCCAGGCUGGUCUUGAACUCCUGAUCUCUGAUGAUCUGCCCACCUUGGCCUCCCAAAGUGCUGGGAUUAUAGGCGUGAGCCACCGCACCCUGCUGAAGUUUCAGUCUUCAUAAUUGCAGAUGCUUUAGUUGGAAACGUUGUCAUAGGAAAAGCUGUUUUUUCUUUCUCUUUGAAUCAUCAAACACAUCUUGCAAUGGUUUUGGCCAUGUUAUCUCUGGUGACCUGGAAGCGACUUUGAUAUUAAGCUUCAGAGUAUGCUGAAACAAGUCAAGACUUUUGGUGAUGUUAGGAUGGUAAGCAUGUAUUUUGCAUGUGAGGUCAUAAAUUUAGGGAGCAGGUAGAAAAUUAUUGCUUUAUUUGUCCCCUGAAAUUCAUAUUAUUAUUAUUUUUUUGAGAGAGUUUUGCUCUUGUUGCCUAGGCUGGAGCGCAAUGGCACAAUCUUGGCUCAAUGCAACCUCCACCUCCUGGUUUCAAGCGAUUCUCCUGCCUCAGCCUCCCAAGUAGCUGAGACUGUAGGCAUACGCCACCGUACCCGGCUAAUUUUUUGUAUUUAGUAGAGACAGGGUUUCACCAUGUUGGUCAGGCUGGUCUCCAACUCCUGACCUCAGGUGAUCCAUGCACCUCGGCCUCCCAAAGUGCCGGGAUUAUAGAGAUGCGCCACCACGCCCAGCCCUGAAAUUCAUAUUUUGAAACCUUACUCCCUAAUGUAUGGAAUGAGGAGAUAGGAUGCCUGGGAGGUAAUUAGGAUUACUUGGGAUCAUGAGGGUAGAGUUCUCAGGAAUGGGACUAUAAGGUUCCCUAGAGAGCUUGCAUUUGCUCUCUAUUAUGUGAGGACACAAUGAGAUGAAAGCCUUCUUUGAACAAGGAAGCUUGCCCUUACCAGGCACUGAAUCUACUAUCACUUUGAUCUUGGAGUUCACAAUCUCCUGUAUACUGAGGAGCAAAUGUUAGGUGUUUAAUACACCCAGCUUAUGUCAUUUUGUUUUAGGAGCCCCUGGUGGAUAAAGCACAACCCCAUUAAAAAAUAGGUGAAGGAGUUGAAUAGACAUUUCUCUAAUGAGGAUGUACAAAUAGACAAUAAUUACAUAAAGAAGAUGUUCAGCAUCACUCAUGGUUUAGGGACAUGCAAAUCAAGAGCAAAAUGACAUCUAUAUCCCCUCACCCUCAUUAGUUUGCUUCUGUCCAAGAACAAAAUAACAUGCUGGCAACGAUGUGGAAUAGUGAGGACCCUUGUACACUAUUGAUGGAAAUGCAAAAUGUCACAACUACUUUUGAAAACUAUAUGGCAGGCCGGGUGCGGUGGCUCAUGCCUGUAAUCCCAGCACUUUGGGAGCCUGAAGUGGGCAGAUCACCUGAGAUUGGGAGUUGAAGACCAGCCUGACCAAGAUGGAGAAACCCCAUCUCUACUAAAAAUACAAAAAAAUUAGCCGGGCAUGGUGGCCCAUGCUUGUAAUCCCAGCUACUCAGGAGGCUGAGGCAGGAGAAUCACUUGAACCCGGGAGGCGGAGGUUACAGUGAGUGGAGAUCGCGCCAUUGCACUCCAGCCUGGGCAACAAGAGCGAAAGUCCAUCUCAAAAAAAAAAACAAAAAAACAAAAAAAAAAACAACUGUGUGGCAGGUAAUCAAUACAUUGAAAAAAUGGAAAUAACAUCCACCAUUUUUCCCUUCUGGGAAUAUAAGCAAAAGAAUAGAGACGGGGGCCUGAAAUGGGUAUUUGUAUACAUGGUAUAGCAGUAUAACUUACCAAUAGGGAAAAUGUGGAAGCAACUCUCUUGUAUAUUGACAGAUGGAUGAAUAAGCAAAAGGUAGUAUAUGCAUAGGAUAGACUAUUACUCUGCCUUCAAACGGAAGGGUGACCUGACAAAUGCUACAGCAUUGAUGAACUUGGAGCACAUUAUGCUAAGUGAAAUAGUCCAUUCAUAUAAAGACACACCUUAUAAGGUCGAGUCACUUGAUUUUUUACAACCUGUCUCCAGACAUGGGCUCCUUAAACUCCAGACCCAAAAUGUUUUUGCUUAUAUGAGGUACUCAGAGGAGUCAAAUUCAUAAAGAAAGUAGAAUGGUGAUUGUGUGGAAUAGGGGAAGUGGGUAAUGGAGACUUAUGAUUUAAUGGCAUAAAGUUUCAAUAUUGCAAGAUGAAAAGGGUUCUGGAGAUAGAUGGUGGUGAUGGCUGCACACCAAUAUGAACGUACUGAAAGCCAGUAAUUCUACACUUAAAAAUUAAGAUGGGCCGGGCACAGUGGCUCACGCUUGUAAUCCCAGCACUUUGGGAGGCCGAGGUGGGUGGAUCACCUGAGGUCAGGAGUUGGAGACCAGCCUGGCCAAAAUGGCAAAACCCCGUCUCUACUAAAAAUACAAAAAUGAGCUGGGCAUGGUGGUGCAUGCCUGUAAGCCCAGUUACUCAGGAGGCUGAGGCAGGAGGAUCUCUUGAACCCGGGAGGCUGAGGUUGCAGUGAGCUGAGAUUGUGCCACUGCACUCCAGCCUGGGAGACAGAGCAAGACUCCAUCUCAACAACAACAACAAAAAAUUGUUAAGAUGAUAAAUUGUAUUUUUUCUGUAUUUUAGUACCAUUAAAAUACGUGGGAUUGGUCAGAGUGGUGGAUAGGGAAAGGACGCAAACCUUCUGAGAGGUUGGAAGGUUCUGCAGAGCCCUGGGGGAGAAUAGCUGAAGGUGGCUGUUCUAUAACCCUGAGGCAGAGGGCAUGGAGUAGGUACAAGGGAGUGUGGGGGAAUUUAUCUUAAACAGGCUUGUUUACUUGUGUUGACCAGGAACUGACCUUUCAUCAUCCCUGUGCCUGACGUUCCCUGAAAGGGGAACAAUAAGUGUUAAUUACCUACAGGUUGUGUUGGCUCCAGGUUUUUGGCAUUGUGCCUAGACUGAAUAAAAGCAAGCAGCUCCAGCUUCUUGGGGCUGCUUUCUGGCCACUAGAGCCAGGCAGUCACCUAGUUGCUGUUACACUGAAUACCUGUGUCUGAGUCCUCAUUUCAUCCGUUGGCCAGGGUCUGCAGGACAGACCCGGCAUUAAAAGAGUGGGGAGCCACAGUAGUGCAAAGACCCCACUGGACCACCAACAUACCAAGCAGUUCUUGGUUCAAUCCCUCCUUGUCCUCAACACUGUUUUUCCAUUUUCCUUGUCCAUAAAGGACCUGUUUCCACAUGCUUGCUUUGACUCUGAUGUCACCUUUAGAGUUGAUGCUCAGGCAUAGCUCACUUAACUGCCUCACCUUUUCUCUCCUGAUCUGGUUGUUGAUGGCUGUUGUGAGACAUUGGUUGUUGCCUUUUUAGUUUAAAAGGAUUCAAAUGACACACAGCAAUGGAGAUGCAGUAUAUGGCAAUUUAUUGCAAACGAAAAAGUAUUUUGAAAGUUAAGUGCAGAACAGACAGUAUGCCCUGAGAGAGAGAGGAGGAUUCAGGGCAGGCUGCUCAUAAGGAUGAGACAGCAAACAGUGGCACUAGGGAGACUUUUUAAAAAAAUUUUAAUAGUUAGAUUUCAGCUCUUUUGAGUGGUUUCAAGUCUGCUGUGGAGGAAGGGGGUAGGGGGAAGGUGGGCAUAGCCCGAGAGGCAACAGACUCCAGAACAUUCCAGACACAGUCCUUCAGAGGCUGGCUAGUAUUAAGGAAAGUGGUUAGGUUUGUGAGGUGAAACAGUGGAUGCUUGUGGCUUUUCCGCAGUGUGUGCAGUCAGGCCAGCUUGACUUGGAGGAAAGCCAUUCAACACAAAAAUGGCACCACAGUUACCCUGGAGGUAACUGUGAAGCACAGGGUUUGAGCCACCUCCAUCAUCCUCAGGGCACUGUGUGUUUCAGGAUACUCUGUGGCACUGCUUUCUUUUCUUUUCUUUUCUUUUUUUUUUUUUUUUUUGGACGGAGUCUCGCUCUGUCGUCCAGGCUGGAGUGCAGUGGUGCGAUCUCGGCUCACUGCAAGCUCCGCCUCCCGGGUUCUCGCCAUUCUCCUGCCUCAGCCUCCCGAGUAGCUGGGAUUACAGGCGCCCGCCACCGCGCCCAGCUAAUUUCUUUUUGUAUUUUUAGUAGAGACGAGGUUUCACUGUGUUAGCCAGGGAUGGUCUCAAUCUCCUGACCUUGUGAUCCGCCCGCCUCGGCCUCCCAAAGUGCUGGGAUUACAGGCGUGAGCCACAGCGCCUGGCCGAGAGACUCCUUUUAUGGGAAUCUUACAUGAUUAUUCAUAAGGGGCUGGGAAGAGGUGUUACUAGUAAGCACAUUCUGGGUGGUCUUCUGGGUGCACAUGCACAGUAGCUGCCCAUUCUUGUUCAUACGUCACAUCUCAUUAGCAUCUUAAAUCUCCACCCAGGGAUGUGGUUUUUACUAUUAUAAUGAGCAAAGGGUCAAUCUGAAGACAGGUAAAAUAAAAAUACGCGUGCUCCCUACAGGGGAAAUUCCCUACUGGAGAGAGCUUUGCUUGAAUGAGCUUGACUACAAUGCGAAUGCUGAGGCUUAUUGUGUUGACUGUACGAUUGCCAAGUCUCCAGGACAUGGUUACUUCCUUGGCUACCUAUCCUGUCUCAUGGUCCUCAGUCACUUCACACCCAUGAUGUAUGCUAACACCCUUCGGUUAUCUGUUUAGAAGGGAUAAUUAUUAUUUUUUUCUUUUUGAGACAGAGUCUCGCUCUGUUGCCAGGCUGGAGUGCAGUGGCACGAUCUCAGCUCCCUGCAACCUCUGCCUUCUGUGUUCAAGCAAUUCUCCUGCCUCAGCCUCCCGAGUAGCUGGAACUAUAGGCAUGUGCCACCAUACCCAGCUAAUUUUUGUAUUUUUAGUAGACGAGGUUUCACCAUGUUGGCCAGGAUGGUGUCGAUCUUCUGACCUCGUGAUCCACUCGCCUCGGCCUCCCAAUGUGCUGGGAUUACAGGCAUGAGCCACCGCGCCCAGUCUAGAAGUUAUAAUUUUAACUUUCCCUGAAGAACACUCAUAAACAUAAGUUAAGGAUUGCAAUGUUUUGUUCAUGAACAAAUCUUCCAGACUGUGAGAAUUAAGCAAGAUAAACUGAAAAUAAUAAUAAUGCGAUACAGAUUUUCCUAACUACAGAAAAUUGAGGAAACAUACUACAAAAUGUGGAAUGACUGACCUUUAAUUCUACCUGGGCUGGAGGUUCAAGAAAUGGACAGAAGGGGUCACUACAUGCACAGGAAAGAAUUUCCUAAUUUUACCAGUAGAGCUGAUGUUGAAGGAGAAAUAUGUGCUGUAACAAGAGAACUUCAAAGUAGGAUGAAUGAAGGAAAUCUUACCCCCCUAAUAAUAUGGAAUUUAUGCAGAAUCAAUUUUUACUUCAGAAGUUCCAGCCCCAGCCCCUCGAACUCACCGGGUCUCCACAGCACACUCUGAUCAAUAUCCCACAGGUGAGGAAUAUAAAAUACUCUUUAUAAAGUGGAAGCUAGUAAGUCGUUCUUUUCAAACUUUCACAAGAAACUACAGAUCUUUUUAAAAGAUUCUGAUUCAGCAGGUCAUUGGGGAAGGCCUGAUCCUCUGCAUUUCUGACUCGGUCCCCAGUGUCGUCCAUGCUGCUGGUCCGCGGACCGCAGUUAGAGUGCUGAGGUAGUAAUAGACCUGGUUAGGCAGGCAGGCAGGCAAGGGACUGAUCCCAUGGAGCCUGGUGGGCCGUAUUAAGGACUUUUAUUGGAUUUCGAGCAGAGAAGCGACGUUUGGGUUGUGUUUUAAGAAGCUACAGAACAAGUUCUGCCAAAGUGGAAGCAAAGACAGGUUACCCACUCCUCUUUUGCCUCCUCGCCUCUUGCCUCGUCGCGGGUGAGCUAUGACUAUCUGGGGCAGUGGUGCGCCGGGGGUAAAAGUAUUUACCAAGACAAUUGUAGGUAAAGGAAGGCAGGUUUAUCGGAGAAAGUAUGAAAAUUCGUUGCGAGGCAGCAACAGGCAGGUCAGCAGAAGAGAAGCUGAAUGCAGGGAAACAGGCUUGCUGAGGAUUUUAUGGACUGGAACUUUGGCUGAUUGAUAACGCCAAGGCAGCAGGGGGCUAAUUUGCAUUUUUCUGGCCGCUGUGGUGUUUGAUAAAUUGAAGCGUUUGUUGAUAAGCAGGAAGUUUGAGUUAUGUAUGUUAUCUGAGCAGGAGGGCCAUAUGUCCUGGGCCAUAAAGCAGACCUAUAACUUAUCUGCCUCUUUUUGUUUAUAUGUCCUGGACCAUGAAGAAAGGCAGAUUUGUAGCUUAUUUACUUUAUCUCUUUGCUUUCUGCGGCUCUCGCCAGCCUGAUUUUUUUCUCCCCUAAUUAGGACUCUGCGUGCCUGAUUGCUUUUCUCUGCCUUCCUUACUUGCAACUCCCAAGGUCAUGUGUCCGUGAGAGUGGACCUAACUCAGCCGCUAACUCAGCCUCGAGCUACACAAAAAAGGGACUGGACUGGGCUAAGGCUUCAAAAAAGGGUGGGCCUUGGGUAAGAUGUUCCAGCUGGUCCAGCACCCUCCUGUCCCAUUUCCCAG
rnacentral:lncRNA from 1 species